rnacentral:sRNA from 1 species
GUCCCGAUGACGACCAUCCAAAUUCGCAUGGCUUCUGGGUUGGGGGCCACCAUAUAGAAAAGGCGUUCGUAGGUCUUGACACAGAAGGAUCUCCACGGAGCCCUGACCGUUCUGGAGCUCAGUAUGUUUUCUAGGCUGGCUUCACACUCACUCACCCGCCCCUGCCCUCCUGGAGCUGAAGUUCCAGCUGUAUACCACUGUGCCCAGUGUCUACGAUGCUGGGGGCUUGAACUCAGGACUCUGUGCAUGCUAGGCAAGCUCUCUACAGACUGAGUGUACAGUGCAGCCCCAGGCUCUGAGCUCUAGUUACGCUCCAGUGCUGGACUGUGAGUAGAGCAAGAGUGGGCUCUCCCCAGGGUGACCUAGAGAUGGGCUGAGGCUGAGGCUUAGCCAUAGGUGCUCAGUGGGAGGGCAUCAUGGCACUGAGCAGGGAGUCACCUUGGAG